UGUUCUGUGGCUUAGUUGGUAAAAGUGCCAGUCUAGCGAAUACGCCAGUCGUGGGUUCGAAUCCCACCAGAACGC
rfam:Aedes albopictus isolate Foshan contig71621, whole genome shotgun sequence.